rnacentral:rRNA from 1 species
GACGUAGGGGGCCAGCGUUGUUCGGAAUUACUGGGUGUAAAGGGUUCGUAGGCGGUGCGGCAAGUUGGGAGUGAAAUCUCUGGGCUUAACCCAGAGGCUGCUUCCGAAACUGCUGUGCUUGAGUGUGGGAGAGGCGCGUGGAAUUGCAGGUGUAGCGGUGAAAUGCGUAGAUAUCUGGAGGAACACCGGUGGCGAAGGCGGCAUCCUGGACCAACACUGACGCUGAGGAGCGAAAGCCAGGGGAGCAAACGGG